CACCGCGGUUAUACGAGCGACACAAAUUAAUACUCCACGGCGUUAAGGGUGAUUAGAAAUAAUCUUAUAUACUAAUAAAGUUAAGACUUCAUCAAGCUGUCAUACGCCUUCAUGCUUAAAAAUAUCACUCACGAAAGUAACCUUAUACAAAUAGAAUUUUUGACCUCACGACAGUUAAGACCCAAACUAGGAUUAGAUACCCUACUAUGCUUAACUAUAAACACUGCUAUUAUUAUUAAUAGACUUACCUUAAUACCCGCCUGAAUACUACAAGCGCUAGCUUUAAACCCAAAGGACUUGGCGGUGCUCCAAACCCAUCUAGAGGAGCCUGUUCUAUAACCGAUAAUCCACGUUAAACCUCACCACUUCUUGCCUAACUACCGCCUAUAUACCGCCGUCGUCAGCUCACCCUGUGAAGGAACACCAGUAAGCAAAAUGACCUUAUCCUCAAUACGUCAGGUCGAGGUGUAGCGAAUGAAGUGGGAAGAAAUGGGCUACAUUCUCUAUUCAAGAGUAUCACGAACAGAAAUAUGAAAAUCUUCUUAAAGGCGGAUUUAGCAGUAAGUAAACUUUAGAAUAUUAUACUGAAACCGGCUCUGGAGCGCGCACACACCGCCCGUCACUCUCCUCGAACAAACCUACUAACUUUCAUAAAAAAAUUCCACAACAAGAGGAGGCAAGUCGUAA
rnacentral:rRNA from 1 species